rnacentral:rRNA from 1 species
UACGUAGGGUGCAAGCGUUAAUCGGAAUUACUGGACGUAAAGCGUGCGCAGGCGGUGAUGUAAGACAGAUGUGAAAUCCCCGGGCUCAACCUGGGAACUGCAUUUGUGACUGCAUCGCUAGAGUACGGCAGAGGGGGAUGGAAUUCCGCGUGUAGCAGUGAAAUGCGUAGAUAUGCGGAGGAACACCGAUGGCGAAGGCAAUCCCCUGGGCCGAUACUGACGCUGAGGAGCGAAAGCGUGGGGAGCGAACAGG